rnacentral:rRNA from 15 species
GCUUACGGCCAUACCACCCUGAAAGCGCCCGAUCUCUUCCGAUCUCGGAAGCUAAGCAGGGUCGGGCCUGGUUAGUACUUGGAUGGGAGACCGCCUGGGAAUACCAGGUGCUGUAAGCC